ensembl:lncRNA
UAAUAUUAAAAAAACUCUCAAAGUACAUCAGGGUAAAUCAAAGACUAAUUGGUGACCAAAUUAUAGGGUUUAAAGCUCUCUCUCUCUCAUUUUCGUUUUCUUUCUUUUUAAACCAUAAAUGAGUAAAAAUAAUUAGGAAAUGUGAAUACGUGCUUUUUCUUUCAUUAAUAAUGACUCACAUAGUGAUAAUCCAUUUUUAGCAAAAAAAUGUUUCAGUUUUGGACCAAGGGCUGCAAUUCCACAAUGUAGCACUUUAUAUUUAGCCAGUGCUUGGUGUUCAUCUGCUGAUGUCUCCUCCUGUCCUAGACUGAAGUUGGUUUGAUUCCUGAGAUGGCAGUCAUUAGAGUACAGGUGGAAAUGGACACCUUAUUAAGUUCUGUAGAUGGGAUUAAAUAACACUUUCAACAAAUAUGUCACUAGGGUUUUCAUUUUUAAAGUGAGCAUGUAGGAUUGUAGAGUACUAGGGACUUUGGUCAGAGGUCCAUGUUUGAUCUAAGACAGAAACUGGUCUGAGACUCCUCCUGAAUGCUGUAUUUCCUGCUUGAUGACAGUAUCAGCCUACUUCCUAUCAGCCAUAGCUAUUUAUACUCAGAAGCACAGAUUCCACAGCUGUAAAGAAAGUGUCUCUCAAAUCACAAUUUCUUCUCCCUUUUGCUCAGGGAAAUUUACAAGGUUGUUUUUGAAGAUAAUCAUGGAGACAAGGCAGAGGUGUUUCUAUAGGAGAGGUUCCACUGUGCCUUCCUCUUCUUUCUUUCAGAUAAUAUCACAGCAAGUCAUGCUCGAUGAUGGAAAAUGUUCUGAGAAAGUCUAUGUCAGGGCUUAUCCAUAAAAGGGCCUUGAUAAGUAUUGUUGCAUUCAGUGGAGUUAGCAUCUUGUUUAUAGAGGACUGAACUCAGCCCCAGGCCACACUGGUAUGAGAACCCAGGACAAACCACAAAAUAGCUUUUCUGUUUGCAAAUGAGUAUUAUAAGCCUCCCUUCUCAGGUUCUUUUAAGGCUCAAAUGAACUAAUAAAAUCAAAAGUCCUAUAAGACUGGAGAAGUGAAAACUAUUAGCAUUAAAUUUUUUUUUCCCUAAAGGAUAUUGAUGGAAACAUCUUCAUGCACAUAUGCAUUUCAUUAUCAAACUAUUUUUAAGUUAUUAGUUGUCUUUAGGUUCUUUUGUUGAUCUAUCAUAAGGCCAUAAUGGAUGCAUUCAUGACUAAAAUGGAUCUGAAUGACACUGAUGUGUCUGUGACUUCCAUGCUGGAAACGACUGGCUGCAAGUUCUACUGAUCUGUAUGAUAGCAUUUCAGAG